GUGGGCCCGUCCGGAUUCGAACCGGAGACCUCACGGUUAUCAGCCGUGCGCUCUAACCGCCUGAGCCACAGGCCC
rnacentral:tRNA from 1 species